rnacentral:rRNA from 1 species
UGGGGAUUCUUCCGCAAUGGGCGAAAGCCUGACGGAGCAACGCCGCGUGCGGGAUGACGCCUUUCGGGGUGUAAACCGCUUUUCUGGGGGAAGAAGGUUGGCGCAAGCCAGCUUGACGGUACCGCAGGAAGAAGGACCGGCUAACUACGUGCCAGCAGCCGCGGUAAUACGUAGGGUCCGAGCGUUGUCCGGAGUUACUGGGCGUAAAGCGCACGCAGGCGGCGGCAUUGGCCCGGCGUGAAAGCCCCCGGCUCAACCGGGGAGGGUCGUCGGGGACCGUGCCGCUUGAGGGCAGCAGGGGUUGGUGGAAUGCCCGGUGUAGUGGUGAAAUGCGUAGAGAUCGGGCGGAACACCCGUGGCGAAGGCGGCCAACUGGGCUGACCCUGACGCUGAGGUGCGAAGGCGUGGGGAGCGAAAGGGAUUAGAUACCCCUGUAGUC